AAUGCCAAGGAUGUGUCUCACUGUUGUUGGGAUUCAUUGUGUUGGCAUUUUGCAAAAUGAUGUCCACAGUUGUGUUGAAUUUCAACCUGUAAAUUGAGUUGCUAGUUGUGGCAUUUACAUUCUUCUGGACACUGAAAAUGUCGUAAUUCUCGUGGUUAUAGUAAUGUCCACUGUUGUGUUGAAUUUCAACCUGUAAAUUGAGUUGCUAGUUGUGGCAUUCACAUUCUUCUGGACACUGAAAAUGUCGUAAUUCUCUUGGUUAUAGUUUUCCGGAGGAGGGGUUUGCUCGAAAGUAUGCAAUAAGU
rnacentral:lncRNA from 1 species